AGAGUUUGAUCAUGGCUCAGGAUGAACGCUAGCGGGAGGCUUAACACAUGCAAGUCGCACGGUAAGGCCCUUUCGGGGGUACACGAGUGGCGGACGGGUGCGUAACGCGUAUGCAACCUGCCUUAUGCAGGGGGAUAGCCCAUGGAAACGUGGAUUAAUACCCCAUAAGUUAGUGAUAUCGCAUGGUAUUAUUAUUAAAGCUGCGGCGGCAUAAGAUGGGCAUGCGUCUGAUUAGCUUGUUGGUAAGGUAACGGCUUACCAAGGCUACGAUCAGUAGGGGUCCUGAGAGGGAAAUCCCCCACACUGGUACUGAGACAUGGACCAGACUCCUACGGGAGGCAGCAGUGAGGAAUAUUGGUCAAUGGCCGCGAGGCUGAACCAGCCAUCCCGCGUGCAGGAUGACAGCCCUAUGGGUUGUAAACUGUUUUUCUACGCCAAGAAACGGUCUUACGUGUAGGACACUGACGGUAGUGUAGGAAUAAGCAUCGGCUAACUCCGUGCCAGCAGCCGCGGUAAUACGGAGGAUGCAAGUGUUAUCCGGAUUCAUUGGGUUUAAAGGGUGCGCAGGCGGGGAUGUAAGUCAGUGGUGAAAAGCUGCCGCUUAACGGUAGUCUUGCCAUUGAUACUGCAUUUCUUGAGUAUGGUUAAGGUAGGCGGAAUGUGCAGUGUAGCGGUGAAAUGCAUAGAGAUUGCACAGAACUCCGAUUGCGAAGGCAGCUUACUGAGCCAUAACUGACGCUGAGGCACGAAAGCGUGGGGAGCGAACAGGAUUAGAUACCCUGUAGUCCACGCCGUAAACGAUGUUCACUCGCUGUUUGCGAUAUACAGUAAGCGGCUUAGUUAAAGCAUUAAGUGAACCACCUGGGGAGUACGAUCGCAAGGGUUGAAACUCAAAUGAAUUGACGG
rnacentral:rRNA from 1 species